rnacentral:lncRNA from 1 species
UACUUGCAGGAUUGAAGAGGUGGGUAAUCUUAAUUAAGGGGUUUCCCCAGGGGAGUGCCCCAUGAAUCAGAGCUUGUCUUCUAAGUCCCAACUUCUCAGCGUCGUCUCUUUCUGAACUGUUCACAGGCAGGACAAGAAAACUUCACAGAGUUCUUGUAGGUACAAUUUUCCAAACGAUAAGGAAUAUUGGGAAAGAGAAAAGAUCUUCUUGCUAAGCAGGGUUGGCACUGAAGUUUUGUUGCCAUGGCAACCAAUGGUCUCCUGGGGCCGGGAGCGCGAUGGCGCGUGUGUGCAUUCACCUCUUUCCUUCCUGGUUCGCUCAGGGAUUUUGCCCCACUUCAAGCUGAAAGAAAGAGAAUAGAGCUCCGGAUUUAGGGUGAUGGGCGGAGGCCUUAACGAAUGGAAGCGUGGUCCUGUCCAAGGCCAACCAAUAAUAUACGAAGUUUGUCUCUGACAGAGCCCUCCCUCUUUUCACUUGGACCUGAAUAACCUGACCCAAACAGAGUUUCUGUUGGAGCGACGGCUCUUUAAGCCAAUGAAAGCACUGAUUUGGGACAGUGCAGAAGAAGAGGCGGGACAGAUUUUUAUGGCAACGCCUGAAUGACAGCGACCCGAGCCAUUGGCUGUAGUUCGCUGGAUUUAUUGACAGAGUGGGCGUGGAGGGGUUUUGUCAGGGCAUCGACUGGGGCCAGAAGAGGCGGGAAAAAGAGAGCAAUGAGAGUCAGCCAAUAAGAACAGCGCGAGUUUCAUAGCAACGGAAGAGUGACGGCGGGUUGGGCCAAAGGAAGGUUAAGCUGUUUGUUACGCCGGCCGAGGGGAGGCGCGGCGGCUGUGUCGGACGAGAGCCGGAGGAGGCGGUGGGUGGAGGUGGCGGCUGCAACGCGGGUUCCUGAGGAGAAGGAGGAGGAGAAGCGGAUCUUUCUCCCAGAGUGGCGGAGUGUGUCUUGCCACACUCUGCCUUCUUGCUCUCUCCCAAAGCGCAGAAUUGUCAGACACACCACAGUGAGGGUACUGGGUAACCUGGCCCUCCAUUUUAUUUGAUUUGGUUUUCUGAAUCUAUUUUUUCCCCUCUUUGCCUCCGACCCUUUGUUUUGACUUGUUCCUCCUCUCCUUUCUGUUCCUCCCUUCUUCCUGUUUUUUUGUCCUCUGGCGGGCUUCCCUUUUGCUGGAGUCCUCGGAGAGGCAUUAGGGACUGGAUCCUUCUUCCCCUAAUGGCUGCCUGGGCUCCACCCACAACCUUUUGACCACUCCCCAGAGGAGGGUGACCUUGGAGGGAGGUGCUAAGGACGGGAGAAUCAGCCUAGCAGGGGGUCAGCA